UGGUCUAGUGGUUAAGGCACCAGACUAGAAACCUGGAGACAGUGAGUUCUAGUCUUGC
rnacentral:tRNA from 1 species